UACGAAGGGGGCUAGCGUUGUUCGGAUUUACUGGGCGUAAAGCGCACGUAGGCGGGUUGUUAAGUCAGGGGUGAAAUCCUGGAGCUCAACUCCAGAACUGCCUUUGAUACUGGGGAUCUCGAGUCCGGAAGAGGUGAGUGGAACUCCGAGUGUAGAGGUGAAAUUCGUAGAUAUUCGGAAGAACACCAGUGGCGAAGGCGACUCACUGGACAUGUAUUGACGCUGAGGUGCGAAAGCGUGGGGAGCAAACAGG
rnacentral:rRNA from 1 species